rnacentral:misc_RNA from 1 species
AACGCACCUUGCGCUCCUUGGCAUUCCGAGGAGCAUGCCUGUUUGAGUGUCAUUAAAUCAUCAACCAUCUCAUCUUCGAGGGGGUUGGACUUGGAGGUUCUGCUGGCCCCCUCUCCUGGACCGGCUCCUCUGAAAAGCAUUAGCAGGGGCUCAUCUUGUGCGAUCUGCAGCCUUGUGUGAUAGUUAUCUACACUCGGCGAGGUCACAUUCACCCAGCUUACAGCCGUCUGCCAUCGCGGACAACUUAUUUGACCACUUGACCUCAAAUCAGGUAGGAUUACCCGCUGAACUUAA